rnacentral:tRNA from 1 species
GCCUGGUUGGUCUAGUGGUCUAAGGCACUGCGGGGGCGUGCCAACCCGGGCGUGUGCACCCAUUUGCGAGUGCCCCAAAAGGUGUUGGCGCGUCCUCCAGAGAACCCUGGUUCGAAUCCAGGAUCGGGCA